GGUUAAUUAAAAUUUUUAAUUUUAAUUAAAUUAAUCUCGAAUUUAAAAGAUUUAAUUAAAAAUUUUAAGUUAAUGUUUAAUUAUUAUUAUUAAUUUUUAAUUGGAAGUGAAAUAUUAAACGAUUUUAAAUAUAUCUAGUUUUUUUAGAAUUGAAUUAAAUUCAGCUUUAAAAUUUAAAAUUAUUUAAUAUGAAUUUAUUUGAUAAAAUAAAUAAUUUUAAAGUAAAUAUAUUCGGGUUAAAUUGAUUAUAUAUUUUAUAAAUAAAUUUAAGUUAAUUUUUAAUAGUAAUUAUAAAAUUAUAUUUCUUUUAAAAAAAUGUUUUAAUUUAUAUAAAAUUUAAUGUAAUUAAAGAUUUAUUUUUUAAUUUUAAUUAUUUAUAAAAAUUUAUUAAUAAAUUAAAUUUUAUUAGAAAUAAUGAUUAUAUUAGUAAAUAAUAAUUAUGUAUAUUAAUAAUUUUAUAAUAUUUAUAUGUAAAUUUAAGGAAUUAGGCAAAAAUUUUAAUUUUAAAUAUAUAUUUACCUGUUUAUCAAAAACAUGUCUUAUUGAUUAAAAUAAUAAGUUUAUUCUGCCCAUUGAAAUUAAAUUUUAAAAGGCUGCAGUAUAUUAACUGUACAAAGGUAGCAAAAUCAAUAGUUUUUUAAUUGAAAACUUGAAUGAAAGAAUUAAUAAAAUAUAUUCUGUCUUAAAUUUAAUUUAUUUAAUUUAAAUAAGAAGUUAAAAUGCUUUUAUAAAUUUAUUAGACGAUAAGACCCUAAGAAUUUAAUAAAAUUGAAUUAUUAUUAAAUUUUAUGAUUAAAUUGAUAAUUAAAUUGAUUUUUUUUUAUUGGGAGGGUAAUUAAAUUUAAUAAACUUUAAUUAUUAAAUAACAUUAAUGAAUGAUUUAUUUAUGAUAAUAUUAAUAAUUAAAAGAAUAAAUUACCUUAG
rnacentral:rRNA from 1 species